GAGAGUAACCGCACCUACAGCAUAGAGUAACAACCAAAUAUUCCUAUAGUACAUUCUAGAAAUGGAAAGAAGAAAGUUAGUGCUGUGUGUCACCAUGUGUCUGCUGGAAGGAUGAGCUGCAAUCCGUGGCAUGAUCAGUAAGGCUAAUACCGGCAUCACCCAUGAAAGUUACUGGGUGGGUCAAUGUGCGAGGGAUUAACAUGUGAGAAAAGACUGUUUAUUUCAAGAACCCAGCUUAUAAUGGGUGUGAUGUAUUGUCAAGGUGAGGAGAUGUUUUGGCUGGUUGGUGUUGGAGGCCAAAGUUCUCAGUUCUUGGUCUUGGCUAUCCAUCCGAGGGAUUUUUGAGGUGAGGCGUCGAAGAAGAGCUUCCAGUCGCAGUCAUGUAUCUUGGUUUCUCUUUCUUUGUUCUUGUGGUGGUGCGGUGUGGGUAUAGUACACUCUGUGGGAUGUGAAUCUAAAGGAUGGUUUUUUUUUCUUGUUUCGUGUGGAUUUUUUUUAUUUCAUUUUUUUUGCUUGUUGGGUUUUUGUUCUCCAUUUUUCUUUCUGAUGUGAAUCUGCUUGUUGGAUUUUUGUUCGUCGGUAUGGACCAUUUUUUGUUGGGUUUUCCAAUUGCUUGGAUGUGAAAUUUAUUGUUCAUUCUUCUGGGUAUGCUUAGUUUUUAGUGGCAUCCUCUUUCUCUUCUCUUUGUGGGAUGUGAAUCUGGAGGAAUUUGAAAAUUCUUUCCUAUCUUGUUGUUCUUCGAUUCAAAACCUGUGUUGAUUCUUUUUUUUUUUUUUCAUUUUUCUGCUUGUUGGAUUUUUCUUUUCCAUUUUUUGUUUGUUGGAUGUGAAUCUACCUGUUGGAUUUCUGUUCGUCAGUAUGGACCAAAGUUUUUUGGCUCGGGCAGUUGCUUGGAUGUGAAAUUUUUCUUUCCUUCAUCCAAUUAUGCUUGACUUUUUUGCUUCAUCCCAAUCAUGGAUUCCAAGGAGAAGCGGCUCAAUGAGGUGGGUUACGAGCAAGAACUCCGAAGAGAAAUGGUAUUACUCCACUGCAUGGUUCAAACCUUCAAUAUGCAAGUCCUGCAAGUCUUGUGUGGGGUUGGGUGGUAGUAUAAUUCUUCACCUAGUUUGUUGGAUUUGUGAUGGCUGAGAUCUGUUCCUCCUUCUUGGAUCACAAACGCUGCAGAGCAUCAUUUUAUUAUGCAAUGGAACAAAUAAGGAUGGACGAUAUCUUACUCCAAAGUGGUUAUUCUUAUGCAUGUACAUAGGCCUGACUAUUAUUUGGGCAUUUCUCAACACUUUUGCAUUAGAAGUGAUUGCCUUCAUCGACAUAAUCUCAAUAUGGUCGCAGGUAUAUUAGCUAGAUAGGCUUGCUUUUAUGCCUGUUACUGUCUUUUUCGUGAGUACAAUGUUUAAUCCCUUUCGCAUCAACAGCUUCUAAAUGCUUGUUCUUUUUCUCCCUUUUUCCUAACAACUCAAAUGGACCAUUACACAUAUUCCUUUGCCUACUUUUUAUGGUAUAAUAUUGUAGUGGUAAUUUUUAAGUUUUGCAAGAGAUGAAUAUAAUUGAGAAGCAAUUAUGUGACAUUCUGUCUGCAAUGCACGAAAACAAUGCAGUAAUUAGAAUUUUAAUAAAUAUCAUUCCAUUUUAUCGCACAAUAGUUUAGCUAAAUACAUCCUCUAAAAUAGAGACAUUACUAGAAGGAGAAAAAGAAAAAGGAAAGAAAUAUGAAAUAAUCAAAGUGGAAAAAUGGCUAUAAGCCAAAGUGAUAAGGCACUUAAAGUUUGUGUAUGGAGAAACUAUAAUUGCCUUAUCUUCAUUUUUAUAUUAAAAAAUUCCAGGAAUUAGUGAUGAUUCUUAGUUGUAACGUAUGCCAGUCAUCACCGAUCAAUCAAAGCCUAUUGCAGUGGUCUAUAUAUGUAGAACACAUCCUCAGUCCUUCAGUUGGCAUGACUUUAAGACUCUCUGUUUCGUUUUUUAAGAUGGGAAGAAAUAGAGUCUUUGAGUUAUCUGGAAUGGGAAUAGUUUUAAGUCUAAAUUUAUUUUCUAGGAUUUUAUUUUCCAACUGUCUUCAAUGUGGCGAAGUUAAACAUGACUGAUGUAUGGAGUUAUAAAUGAGAAACUCUGGUCUUAUAGAUGUCUCUUCUUCUCAUUCCUUUCAGUAUUCCUACAAAGGAAUCACAUCAAACUUAAAAUGAGAUCAUAAGAAUUCUUAAACAAAAAGGUGCAAACAAGCCUUACCUGCUGAACCUAGUCCUCAAUCCCAUCCAAUCAUAUGAAUUCUCUCUCUCUCUCUCUCUCUGGUUUGGGAAGGUGGAUACUUCUAGCAAGUCUGAUCUAAAGAUGUUACCUGAAAGAGUUCUUUAGGUUCAGCAGGUCGUAUCCUCCUGCCAUCAAUGUUUUUAUUUUAUAAUACAUUAAUUUGCUUGUAAAGGAUGAUGUUCUUAAAGAGGUGAAGCAGAAGAUUGAUGUUGGGUCUGUGAAGCCUGAGGUAAGAUUCUUUUAGUCUCUUAUGCUGGUUUUGAUUUGCAGUCAGUUUAGUCAUACGUACGAAGCAGGAACUGUUUGCAGAAGUCAUCUGUGCCAAGUCUUCCAAGUGCUGCAUUUAUAUUUGUUCACCAUACUUUAUAUUUUCUAUAUUUAUAUGCUCCCAAAUCUUUAAUGACCAUACUUAAACUCCAAAUUCAUUUCAUGCAGGAACAUUUACCGUAUCUCCAACACAUCGCUACAUUAUGUUCAGAAAAAGAAUGGAUAAUGCAGCUAUAUGCAGAGGUGGAUCAACUCAAGAAGCAGCACCG